rnacentral:rRNA from 2 species
AGGUGUGGUCAUACCAGCACUAAUGCACGAGAUCCCAUCAGAACUCCGCAGUGAAGCGUGCAUAGGCGAGACUAGUAUUAGGAUGGGUGACCUCCUGGGAAGUCCUCGUGAUGCACCUU